GUGUCAGCAGCCGCGGUAAUACGGGGGGGGCAAGCGUUGUUCGGAAUUACUGGGCGUAAAGCGUGCGCAGGCGGUUCUAUAAGACAGAUGUGGAAUCCCCGGGCUCAACCUGGGAACUGCAUUUGUGACUGUAGAGCUGGAGUACGGCAGAGGGGGAUGGAAUUCCGCGUGUAGCAGUGAAAUGCGUAGAUAUGCGGAGGAACACCGAUGGCGAAGGCAAUCCCCUGGGCCUGUACUGACGCUCAUGCACGAAAGCGUGGGGAGCAAACAGGAUUAGAUACCCUCGUAGUCC
rnacentral:rRNA from 1 species